rnacentral:tRNA from 1 species
GCCGCCCUAGCCCAACUGGUAGAGGCGUCAGGUCGAGGGCCUGAUUAGUGAGGGUUCGAGUCCCUCGGGCGGCA